GGUUGAUCCUGCCAGUUGUCAUAUGCUUAUUUCAAGGACUAAGCCAUGCAAAUGUAAGAGUACCUGUGGUUCACCACAGGGGGGUCUGUGUACGGCUCAUUAUAAGGUUAAUAGUCUACCCAACGAAGGACGUUUUCUUGACGUUCCUACGGGAUAACUGUGCUAACCGUACAGCUAAUACCACGGGAGAAGAUUCCGCGACCAUCAAACCAGUAGAAGGGGAAACUUGACUGCUGGGGUCUCGGAAGCUGUUGGCCGAGACAAAGACCAUCGCCGCUCAAACGGCAGGUGUA
rnacentral:rRNA from 1 species